CGGAGGGUGCAAGCGUUGUCCGGAUUUAUUGGGUUUAAAGGGUGCGUAGGCGGUCCUAUAAGUCAGUGGUGAAAUACGGCAGCUCAACUGUCGAGGUGCCAUUGAUACUGCAGGACUAGAGUACUGAUGAGGUAGGCGGAAUGGACGGUGUAGCGGUGAAAUGCUUAGAUAUCGUCCAGAACACCGAUAGCGAAGGCAGCUUACUAAAGAGUAACUGACGCUGAGGCACGAAAGUGUGGGGAUCAAACAGGAUUAGAUACCCUGGUAGUCCACACUGUAAACGUUGAUCACUAGAUGUUGGCGAUACACUGCCAGCGUUCCAGCAAAAGCGAUAAGUGAUCCACCUGGGGAGUACGCCCGCAAGGGUG
rnacentral:rRNA from 1 species